rnacentral:rRNA from 1 species
CUACCAUGCAGUCGAACGGAAUCCUUCGGGAUUUAGUGGCGGACGGGUGAGUAANACGNUAAGAACCUGCCUCUAGGACGGGGACAACAGUUGGAAACGACUGCUAAACCCGGAUGAGCCGAAAGGUAAAAGAUUUAUCGCCUAGAGAGGGGCUUGCGUCUGAUUAGCUAGUUGGUAAGGUAAAGGCUUACCAAGGCGACGAUCAGUAGCUGGUCUGAGAGGAUGAUCAGCCACACUGGGACUGAGACACGGCCCAGACUCCUACGGGAGGCAGCAGUGGGGAAUUUUCCGCAAUGGGCGAAAGCCUGACGGAGCAAGACCGCGUGGGGGAGGAAGGUUCUUGGAUUGUCAACCCCUUUUCUCAGGGAAGAACAAAAUGACGGUACCUGANGAAAAAGCAUCGGCUAACUCCGUGCCAGCAGCCGCGGUAAUACGGGGGAUGCAAGCGUUAUCCGGAAUGAUUGGGCGUAAAGAGUCCGUAGGUAGCCAUUCAAGUCUGCUGUUAAAGAGCGAGGCUUAACCUCGUAAAGGCAGUGGAAACUGGAAGGCUAGAGUGUAGUAGGGGCAGAGGGAAUUCCUGGUGUAGCGGUGAAAUGCGUAGAGAUCAGGAAGAACACCGGUGGCGAAGGCGCUCUGCUGGGCUAUAACUGACACUGAGGGACGAAAGCUAGGGGAGCGAAUGGGAUUAGAUACCCCAGUAGUCCUAGCGGUAAACGAUGGAAACUAGGUGUUGCCUGUAUCGACCCGGGCAGUGCCGAAGCUAACGCGUUAAGUUUCCCGCCUGGGGAGUACGCACGCAAGUGUGAAACUCAAAGGAAUUGACGGGGGCCCGCACAAGCGGUGGAGUAUGUGGUUUAAUUCGAUGCAACGCGAAGAACCUUACCAGGACUUGACAUCUCUGGAAUCCCGCCCAAAAGGUA